AAGAGAUCGGGAUAACACCUGGAAACAGAUGCUAAUACCGGAUAACAACAGAUGAUGCCUAUCAACUGUUUAAAAGAUGGGUUCUGCUAUCACUCUUGGAUGGACCUGCGGUGCAUUAGCUAGUUGGUAGGGUAACGGCCUACCAAGGCGAUGAUGCAUAGCCGAGUUGAGAGACUGAUCGGCCACAUUGGGACUGAGACACGGCCCAAACUCCUACGGGAGGCAGCAGNUU
rnacentral:rRNA from 1 species